GACGAACGCUGGCGGCGUGCCUAACACAUGCAAGUCGAACGGAAAGGCCCUGCUUUUGUGGGGUGCUCGAGUGGCGAACGGGUGAGUAACACGUGAGUAACCUGCCCUUGACUUUGGGAUAACUUCAGGAAACUGGGGCUAAUAUCGGAUAGGAGCUCCUGCUGCAUGGUGGGGGUUGGAAAGUUUCGGCGGUUGGGGAUGGACUCGCGGCUCAUCAGCUUGUUGGUGGGGUAGUGGCUUACCAAGGCUUGGACGGGUAGCCGGCCUGGGAGGGUGACAGGCCACACUGGGACUGAGAUACGGCCCAGACGGCUACGGGAGGCAGCGGUGGGGAAUAUUGCACAAUGGGCGGAAGCCUGAUGCAGCAACGCCGCGUGCGGGAAGACGGCCUGCGGGUUGGAAACCGCUUUCGCCUGAGACGAAGCGUGAGUGACGGUAAUGGGUAAAGAAGCACCGGCUAACUACGUG
rnacentral:rRNA from 1 species